rnacentral:rRNA from 2 species
AAGUGGUAGGAGAGCGUUCUAUUUGCGUCGAAGGUAUACCGGUAAGGAGUGCUGGAGCGAAUAGAAGUGAGCAUGCAGGCAUGAGUAGCGAUAAUUAAUGUGAGAAUCAUUAACGCCGUAAACCCAAGGUUUCCUACGCGAUGCUCGUCAUCGUAGGGUUAGUCGGGUCCUAAGUCGAGUCCGAAAGGGGUAGACGAUGGCAAAUUGGUUAAUAUUCCAAUACCAACAUUAGUGUGCGAUGGAAGGACGCUUAGGGCUAAGGGGGCUAGCGGAUGGAAGUGCUAGUCUAAGGUCGUAGGAGGUUGUACAGGCAAAUCCGUAUAACAAUACUCCGAGAACUGAAAGGCUUUUUGAAGUCUUCGGAUGGAUAGAAGAACCCCUGAUGCCGUCGAGCCAAGAAAAGUUUCUAAGUUUAGCUAAUGUUGCCCGUACCGUAAACCGACACAGGUGGGUGGGAUGAGUAUUCUAAGGCGCGUGGAAGAACUCUCUUUAAGGAACUCUGCAAAAUAGCACCGUAUCUUCGGUAUAAGGUGUGGUUAGCUUUGUAUUAGGAUUUACUCCGAAAGCAAGGAAACUUACAACAAAGAGUCCCUCCCGACUGUUUACCAAAAACACAGCACUCUGCUAACUCGUAAGAGGAUGUAUAGGGUGUGACGCCUGCCCGGUGCUCGAAGGUUAAUUGAUGGGGUUAGCAUUAGCGAAGCUCUUGAUCGAAGCCCGAGUAAACGGCGGCCGUAACUAUAACGGUCCUAAGGUAGCGAAAUUCCUUGUCGGUUAAAUACCGACCUGCAUGAAUGGCGUAACGAGAUGGGAGCUGUCUCAAAGAGGGAUCCAGUGAAAUUGUAGUGGAGGUGAAAAUUCCUCCUACCCGCGGCAAGACGGAAAGACCCCGUGGACCUUUACUACAGCUUGACACUGCUACUUGGAUAAGAAUGUGCAGGAUAGGUGGGAGGCUUUGAGUAUAUGACGCCAGUUGUAUAUGAGCCAUUGUUGAGAUACCACUCUUUCUUAUUUGGGUAGCUAACCAGCUUGAGUUAUCCUCAAGUGGGACAAUGUCUGGUGGGUAGUUUGACUGGGGCGGUCGCCUCCCAAAUAAUAACGGAGGCUUACAAAGGUUGGCUCAGAACGGUUGGAAAUCGUUCGUAGAGUAUAAAGGUAUAAGCCAGCUUAACUGCAAGACAUACAAGUCAAGCAGAGACGAAAGUCGGUCUUAGUGAUCCGGUGGUUCUGUGUGGAAGGGCCAUCGCUCAAAGGAUAAAAGGUACCCCGGGGAUAACAGGCUGAUCUCCCCCAAGAGCUCACAUCGACGGGGAGGUUUGGCACCUCGAUGUCGGCUCAUCGCAUCCUGGGGCUGGAGCAGGUCCCAAGGGUAUGGCUGUUCGCCAUUUAAAGCGGUACGCGAGCUGGGUUCAGAACGUCGUGAGACAGUUCGGUCCCUAUCUGCCGUGGGCGUAAGAAGAUUGAAGAGAUUUGACCCUAGUACGAGAGGACCGGGUUGAACAAACCACUGGUGUAGCUGUUGUUCUGCCAAGAGCAUCGCAGCGUAGCUAAGUUUGGAAAGGAUAAACGCUGAAAGCAUCUAAGCGUGAAGCCAACUCUAAGAUGAAUCUUCUCUAAGCUCUCUAGAAGACUACUAGUUUGAUAGGCUGGGUGUGUAAUGGAUGAAAGUCCUUUAGCUGACCAGUACUAAUAGAGCGUUUGGCUUAUCUUUAAUAAAGCAU